AUGCACUAUAAUGAAAAUGCCCAGAGAGUUCAUGCAUCCACCACAGCUGGAGAACUACGGUAUUCCAUUGUCUACCCGAAAUACAAACAUGGGGACUUUACUGUGCGACCCAUACGGGGUCAUCCUACGUCAGGGUACGUUGAGACACUGAUGGAGCUUCUCUUCAACAAUGUGGUGAAAGACCCGGGUGCAUACCAGGACUUUCUGGACACAGUCCUUGUGCCAGAGAAACUUUGUUCCCAGUACACCAGACCUGACAAGAGGGAGGCAGUGGCCAGGCACAAGUCACGGUUCUUCAAGAACAUGUGAGUUUUGGCUCACUACAUAUAAUAGUAUGUUGUAAGAAUACAUUUUGGUUAUUGAUGUUUAUGUAAUUAUUUUUGCCAGUUCUAUUACCAUCAUUUGCUUUAGCUUUUUUUUUUUUUUUUUUUUACAGGCACCAAUGACUUCCUGACACACAUGGAGCUCUGAACAACAUUAUGCAUCUUAUGUAGAUUUGCUAACUGUGAGGUUCAUUGUAGUUAAUGUACCCCCACAAGGAAACUAUAGCGGAAGUUGUUAGAUUGAAUGCAUCAUACAGUGUGUGACAGCUAUUGCAUACACUCGAGGUUAAACUGUGUAUUAGAUUCCACUAGGCCAGUGGUUCUCAAACUUUUUCGGUCAUUCCCCACAUUGGACAAGGGGAGAUUUUCAAGCCCCACCUUGGGGAGGGUGGGGGUAGGUCACGUCAUAAUUUCAUAAGUCUAAGAAAAAACUUUCCCCUGUCUGUCUGUCUCAUUGUGGAAGAGAAGCGCCAUCAGUGUCUCAACGUAGCCUAAAGUGUAAGGAUAGAACAGGGUAGUAACACAUUUCCCCAAAAUCAAUCAUGAUACCACUAAUGACCGAAAAAGUUUGAGAACCACUGGCCUAGUGGAAUCUAAUACACAGUUUAACCUCGAGAGCCAGGUACUGAUCCACUCUUAAAGCAGAAACUCCGCCCACAGCCCUGCGCGGUGAUAGGCUUAUCCAGACCACUCUGAUCAGGAGCAGAGCAGGAACACCUGGACAGGUAACAGUACUGGAGUGGAGGAGAGAAACACAGGAGCGGAGCGGAGAAGAAGCUGCAGCCUGGGGCCGUAACAAUUGUGCACUUUAUGAAAAUGUUUUUGAGGUGAUGGGCACCUGUGUUUACAAUAUGAGCACUUCUUGUGAAGUUAUACGUAUUUUAUUAUUUUGAAUGCUCUGAACACUACUGUACAUCUCAUAGAUUUUCUAAAUGUGAGGUUCAUGUACCUUCGCAAGGAAACUGUAUUGAAACUUGUUGGAUUGCACUGAAAAGUAUGUUUAAAAUUGACAGCCAUGGACAUUGUAGAGUUCAAAGAAGAUUUUUAACAAGUGGGGAGAGUUGACAGAUGGCAUUGAAAAAAAAUUAAUCAAGGGGGGGGGAGUUGGAACCCUGUGUAGUUUCCCUCGUUUUCAGGGAACUCCUGCCUGAUGCGGGUGACGGCACAAGAUGGGAUGACAACCCUGAUAUGCCGGCCCAAGUACCCAACUGCAAUGAACCAGCUUUGGGGGGGCCCAGCUUGCAAAAGGUUGAGAACCCCUGUGUUAGCUUGUUGUUGUAGCCACAAGCUAGGAACGGUCGCUAUUUUCAAAUUAAAAGCCCCCCGCUAAGAACCCAGUUCUAAACUCUAAACUAAAGCUUUUAUUUUGAAGACAAAUUUGUUGUCAACUGUUCACAGCCCAACUUCGGGCUUCACGUCACGCCUACCUCUUAGGCGGCUUUUGGAAAAGGAAGAAUAUUAUGCCUCCGUUUGAGAAAGCCAAUCACAGCAGCUAUCACCUAUCACCUAGCCAAAGAUACGUCCCCAAUAAACACUUUACAACAUUAAGUAUUAAAGGAUGCCCUCUCAUCUUGGAGACUUUUUUUUUUUUUUUACUUUUGUAUAAAUCAUUUCUCAUCCAAUGAUUGAACUUGAACAAAACAAAAAAAACAUUGCUUUGGCAGAGGCAUAGUAGUAUGUCUCUGCCAUACUACAAUGUUUUUUUUUUGUUUUGUUCAAGUUCAUCACUGCAAUAAAUAUUUUGUGAAAAAAAUUGUGCCAGAGAAUCGUGAUCUCAAUUCUAAGCAAAAAAAUUGUGAUUCACAUUUUUUCCAGAAUCGUGCAACCCUAAUGCCAAUUACACAAAUUGCCCAGCAUGCAACUCUUGGCAAUCAAGUUGAAUUUCAUCCAGUAGGCCUAUAGAUGACAUUUCAAUCAUAAAAGUUGAUAGAAAGCACAUACAUAGUUCAUUUGAUCUUCUCCCUCCCUUUACUGUUUUUACUUCAUAUAUAUUGGUCCCUGUAGUGAGUUUGUGAUUAUUUGGCAAAGAUUUCUCUAUCAACCUUUUGUAUAUAUGGCUUAAAAUAAUCUCCCCCUCACUGCAAAAGACAGAACAAGGAAGCUCCUAGCCUAACAUUAGUUAGGAAAUGAAAAGUGUUAUUAAGGUGUUAGUGUAGUGAAUGUAAGCUAGUAGCUAACUGAUUGACGAUGUCAGUUAGCAAUUUUGCUUGGAAUAAAGAUGGCUUGAGCAUUGCAGUUCUUUGUUUUAGGAUGCCUUGCAGUUGUAACCUAUGAAUCUCAUCAUCAUGCUGGUUAUUUUGAAAAUAAAUGUUGGAUUUGUCCCUACCCAAGCUGAGACCAAACUUAUGCCCUUGAUCUUACCCUCUUGGUUCUCGAUCGACUCCGAGCUGAACUGUUCACAGCUUCAGCCUGCGAUGCAAGAUCUGGUUGUUUGUACCUGAAGCUCCUGCGUACUGUCUCGUUAUGUCUUACAGGCAGGUGGAAAAAAAUUAAAUGAGAGUGGUACGAAUAAAAAAAAAGUCACAGUAAAAUUAAACAAGGAAGGAGAAAACAGUAAAAGUUACUUACACACAAUGGCGUCUUUAUCAGCAUCGUGUAAAUCUGAACUUGCAGAUAUAGUUCCGAGCAAAUAGGAGGUCACGGCCUCGUUAUGAGGCGAGGUUAGUCUGUGAAAACAAAAUGCUCGAAGCGAUAAACCCCCGUGUCCCUCUGCGGCAGCGAAG
ensembl:lncRNA